AUGCGAGGGGACUUUAUGAUAAUGUUUGGAGGAAAGAGAGGGGCAGUGGAAGGAAGAGGCGGACCAACUCUUGCACGACAAUACUUGCACGGGCAAAUUUAACAAAAUGUUGGUUAAUCUAAAAUCAUCAACCAUAACAUACAUGGAAAUGCGUACACAUUAUAUCAAAAUAAAAAUUCGAUGGUGGGAAAUGUCUAAAAAAAA